rnacentral:rRNA from 1 species
GACAGAGGGGGCAAGCGUUGUCCGGAGUUACUGGGCGUAAAGGGCGCGUAGGCGGCCUGUUAAGUCGAACGUGAAAUCCCCGGGCUCAACCCGGGAACUGCGUCCGAUACUGGCAGGCUUGAAUUCGGGAGAGGGAUGCGGAAUUCCAGGUGUAGCGGUGAAAUGCGUAGAUAUCUGGAGGAACACCGGUGGCGAAGGCGGCAUCCUGGACCGAGAUUGACGCUGAGGCGCGAAAGCCAGGGGAGCAAACGGG